GUUUAUGUGCUGGACCCAUAGGACAAGACUCCAUCUGAAAGCCAGGGAGGAGGGCAAUGUCCUCACUGGGGAGAAGAUAGAGGAGUGACAUGCUCAAAACCUUAUCUUAGAAAAAUUAUCUCAAACUUUCCAACCUGGGCCAUAUGAUUGGUUGCAUUCACAUCCCCUGUCAGCAGGAGGUAGGGAGGAUUGAACAGGAGGACCAGCCAGGAGACUGAUACAGGAUGACAAAUUGGUUACUUAGGCUGAGCGAUGUGGGUAUUCUAUGUGUGGUGACUUGAUAAACAAAAUAUGAUGUGACCAUUUGACAGAAUAUUAUUUAACAACUGUGUCAUAAAAGGUGAAUUUUUGAUACAUACUACAACAUGGAUGAACUUUGAAAACACCAUGCGAAUGAAAGGAGCCAGUUACAAAUGACCGUUUAUUGUACAAUUCUGUUUACAUGAAAUGUUCAGUAUUGGAAAAUCUAUAGACAGAAUGCACAAUAGUGGUUGUCUAGGCUGGAUGAGGGGAGGGAGAAUGAGGUGGUGACUGCUAAUGGGCACAUGAUUUCUUAUUGGGAUGAUGUAAAUGUUUUAAAAUUUGAUCACGGUGAUGGUUUCCC
rnacentral:lncRNA from 1 species